ACUUCGUGGUGGGCGCGCU
rnacentral:misc_RNA from 1 species